rnacentral:rRNA from 1 species
AGAGUUUGAUCCUGGCUCAGAUUGAACGCUGGCGGCAUGCCUUACACAUGCAAGUCGAACGGUAACGCGGGGGCAACCCUGGCGACGAGUGGCGAACGGGUGAGUAAUACAUCGGAACAUAUCCAGUAGCGGGGGAUAACCUAUCGAAAGAUGGACUAAUACCGCAUACGAUCUACGGAUGAAAGCAGGGGACCGCAAGGCCUUGCACUAUUGGAGUGGCCGAUGUCGGAUUAGCUAGUUGGUGGGGUAAAAGCUUACCAAGGCGACGAUCCGUAGCUGGUCUGAGAGGACGAUCAGCCACACUGGAACUGAGACACGGUCCAGACUCCUACGGGAGGCAGCAGUGGGGAAUUUUGGACAAUGGGCGCAAGCCUGAUCCAGCCAUGCCGCGUGAGUGAAGAAGGCCUUCGGGUUGUAAAGCUCUUUCGGUGAAGACGAAACGGUUCAUGCUAAUAACGUGAACUAAUGACGGUACUCACAGAAGAAGCACCGGCUAACUACGUGCCAGCAGCCGCGGUAAUACGUAGGGUGCAGGCGUUAAUCGGAAUUACUGGGCGUAAAGCGUGCGCAGGCGGUUUGCUAAGACAGGUGUGAAAUCCCCGGGCUUAACCUGGGAAUUGCGCUUGUAACUGGCAAGCUAGAGUGUGGCAGAGGGGGGUGGAAUUCCACGUGUAGCAGUGAAAUGCGUAGAUAUGUGGAGGAACACCGAUGGCGAAGGCAGCCCCCUGGGUUAACACUGACGCUCAUGCACGAAAGCGUGGGGAGCAAACAGGAUUAGAUACCCUGGUAGUCCACGCCCUAAACUAUGUCAACUAGUUGUCGGGGAAGAAAUUCCUUGGUAACGAAGCUAACGCGUGAAGUUGACCGCCUGGGGAGUACGGCCGCAAGGUUAAAACUCAAAGGAAUUGACGGGGACCCGCACAAGCGGUGGAUUAUGUGGAUUAAUUCGAUGCAACGCGAAAAACCUUACCUACCCUUGACAUGCUAGGAAGCCCGCAGAGAUGUGGGUGUGCCCGAAAGGGAACCUAGACACAGGUGCUGCAUGGCUGUCGUCAGCUCGUGUCGUGAGAUGUUGGGUUAAGUCCCGCAACGAGCGCAACCCUUGCCAUUAGUUGCUACAUUCAGUUGGGCACUCUAAUGGGACCGCCGGUGACAAACCGGAGGAAGGUGGGGAUGACGUCAAGUCCUCAUGGCCCUUAUGGUAGGGCUUCACACGUAAUACAAUGGUCGGUACAGAGGGCUGCCAACCCGCAAGGGGGAGCUAAUCCCAGAAAGCCGAUCGUAGUCCGGAUUGUAGUCUGCAACUCGACUGCAUGAAGCCGGAAUCGCUAGUAAUCGCGGAUCAGCAUGUCGCGGUGAAUACGUUCCCGGGUCUUGUACACACCGCCCGUCACACCAUGGGAGUGGGUUCCACCAGAAGUAGUUAGCCUAACCGCAAGGAGGGCGAUUACCACGGUGAGAUUCAUGACUGGGGUGAAGUCGUAACAAGGUA